AUGGAGGCCUGUAUCGUAAUAAAGAGUUUACGGCAGCUAGCUAGACAUCCGACGAGUUUGUGCUCUCUCAUCUUCAGAGCUUUGGCUGAUCUGAUGGGACUUUCCCCCAGUGUACUCGGCAAAUUCAGAGGAGACCCGCCGCCCAUGGAGAAUAUGGUGGGCAAAUCGCCGGAGCCGGAGCCGGAGCUGCCACCGGAUAUGCUGUCGAGCAUCUUUGCCCUCCUCGAGGUCCCUGACCUCGUGCGCGCAGGCUCUGUCUGCUCCUCCUGGCGCUCGGUGUACACCGGACUACGCCGUCAGCUUCGGCAGCACAAACAGCGCCAGACGCCUUGCCUCCUCUACAGCCUUGCCGGAGAGAACGCAGCUUGCCUCUACAGCCUUGCGGAAAAGAGGGCCUACAAGUUAACCCUCCCGGAUCCACCGAUCCGCAGUAGGUAUCUGAUUGGCUCUUCGCAUGGUUGGCUGAUCACUUCCGAUGAGAGGUCCGAGCUGCAAAUUGUAAAUCCAAUCACUGGUGAACAGAUUGUUCUCCCGUCAGUGAUUACUCUUGAGCAAGUCAAGCCGGUCUUUGACGAUGAAGGUGCUAUUCAUAAGUAUGAGUUGUGGGAGCCACGGUACACUGCACUUGCAGAAUUCCUUGGUCACGAGCCCUCAGUUUAUGCUCUCGAUGAGCUCCGUGACUAUCUCUACUUGAAGGCAUAUUUGUUUCCUGACCCGCAAACGGAAAGCUAUAUUGUGGUGCUCAUUCAUAAUCCAGAAUAUCAGAUUUCAUUUGCAAGGGCAGGGGACUGUGGGUGGACCUUUCUGCCACCAGGUUGGAACUAUCAAGAAUGCAUCUACAAGGAUGGUAUACUGUAUGCAGUGACAAGAACUGGAUCAAUUGAUGCUUUUGAUCUCUCUGGUCCUACUGUCACAAGGAAGACGGUUCUGGGUGACAUGAAGAAUUAUAUUUGUGAGCACAUAUACAUUGUUCAGGCACCGUGGGGCGAUAUGCUGCAAGUUUGGAGGGAACAGCCCACUGUAGAUGGCGAUGCUGGUUCAGAGAACAUAAAGGAAACCAGCAAAAUAUUUGUAUAUAAGAUUGAUAUGGCAGCAAAAAAGCUUGUGGAAAUAAAUGGCUUGCAUGGCCAUGUGUUGUUUCUUGGGCAUAGCCAGACUCAGUGUCUCAGUGUGGAAGAAUAUCCGCAAUUGAAGGCAAACUGUGUCUACUUCACCGAUGAUGUAAGAUUUAUUUCGUUGUAUCAGAAUAGUAAACGUGAUGUAGGUGUUCUAAAUUUGGAAAAUGACACCAGGGAAGAAAUUAUACCUCAGAUUUAUUGCAGCUGGCCAAAUCCCAUAUGGAUAACACCCAGUCUUACAAUGAUGUACUCGGGAUUGAUGUAA
rnacentral:rRNA from 1 species